GAUGAACGCUAGCGGGAGGCUUAAUACAUGCAAGUCGAGGGGCAGCAUAGGGUAGCAAUACUCUGAUGGCGACCGGCAAACGGGUGAGUAACGCGUAUGUAACCUACCCUGUACAGGGGGAUAACCCGGAGAAAUUCGGACUAAUAUCCCAUAACAAUAUCCGGGGGCAUCUUUGGAUAUUUAAAGUUCCGGCGGUACGGGAUGGGCAUGCGUAACAUUAGCUAGUUGGUAAGGUAACGGCUUACCAAGGCUUUGAUGUUUAGGGGUCCUGAGAGGGUGGUCCCCACACUGGUACUGAGACACGGACCAGACUCCUACGGGAGGCAGCAGUGAGGAAUAUUGGUCAAUGGGCGCAAGCCUGAACCAGCCAUCCCGCGUGCAGGAAGACGGCGCUAUGCGUUGUAAACUGCUUUUCCAGGGAGAGAAACUUGCGCACGUGUUGCGCAAUUGACGGUACCCUGGGAAUAAGCAUCGGCUAACUCCGUGCCAGCAGCCGGGUAAAACGUG
rnacentral:rRNA from 1 species